ensembl:lncRNA
GGUUUAUGCAUAACUACUAGAACAAAACAGUCUUUAAAAUUAUUUUUUUAUUAUUUCUCCUACGAUGUUUAGUAUCAGAGCGCCAUGUGCUUUCCCUUGGUCUGGGAGCCUAUCAGCAGACAGCUCAGGAAGACAUCCCUGAGACUCAGCCACCUGCCAACCUGAGGUGCUCUGUAAGCACUGCAAAUGCCACUAUAACGUCUCCCCGGAGCCUUCAUGUGUCCAAGUGCCAUAAGCUGGGGAGCACAAGACCAGCUGCUGAAUGGAUCCAUCUCAUAUACAGGAUAUACACUCCCAGUGAAGGACUCACUCCACCAGGAAGGGGAAAAGGUACCUCCUGGACAUACAUUUUCAGGCUCACUACUGGAGGCACCUAGGCGUGCAGCGUUGCAGAGGCCUUGCCUCUCUUGGACUUCCAGAUCCAGCAGAAUGUAUGUAGGUUGCUCCACACAUAAUGCCUUCUAUUUAUUUCCACGGAAACUACAGUGGAUACAAAGGGCACAAUAACACAGUUUGAUAGAGCAAAUUCUUAAAUACAAAACACGAUUUUUCAGCUGUGACCACCAUGAGCGUUGCAUUUUCAACAGUGAUGAAAAAGAGCCACACAUAACAGUCUGCACCAGUGGAAGUAACCCGCUGUCUCCACUGCUGAAAUGCCUACCACCCACUGCCUAACUGUGCUCACAUCCACUGGUUGGUCUCCAUCAAUGCUCAGCAGGCACACCUGUGCAAUUUUUUCUGCAUGAAGGAAUUCAGUGACACACCUUUACUUGAUCCACACUUCCACAUCAGAGGCCGUUG